UACGGGGGGGGGCAAGCGUUGUUCGGAAUUACUGGGCGUAAAGGGUGCGUAGGCGGCUUUCUAAGUUGGAUGUGAAAACUCUGGGCUCAACCCAGAGCCUGCAUCCAAAACUGGAGAGCUAGGGUUCUGGAGGGGAAAGCGGAAUUCCUGGUGUAGCGGUGAAAUGCGUAGAUAUCAGGAGGAACACCGGUGGCGAAGGCGGCUUUCUGGACAGAUACCGACGCUGAGGCACGAAAGCUAGGGGAGCAAACAGG
rnacentral:rRNA from 1 species